UACGUAGGGUCCGAGCGUUGUCCGGAUUUAUUGGGCGUAAAGAGCUCGUAGGCGGCCAGGUAGGUCUGCUGUGAAAACUCGAGGCUCAACCUCGAGACGUCGGCGGAAACCAUCUGGCUAGAGUCCGGAAGAGGAGAGUGGAAUUCCUGGUGUAGCGGUGAAAUGCGCAGAUAUCAGGAAGAACACCCGUGGCGAAGGCGGCUCUCUGGGACGGUACUGACGCUGAGACGCGAAAGCGUGGGGAGCGAACAGG
rnacentral:rRNA from 1 species